rnacentral:rRNA from 1 species
GUAAUGCCGGAUGCUCCGACUCCUCGCAUGGGGUGUCGGGAAAGAUUUCAUCGGUAUGGGAUGGGGUCGCGUCCUAUCAGGUAGUCGGCGGGGUAACGGCCCACCGAGCCUACGACGGGUAGCCGGCCUGAGAGGGCGACCGGCCACAUUGGGACUGAGAUACGGCCCAGACUCCUACGGGAGGCAGCAGUGGGGAAUAUUGCACAAUGGGCGCAAGCCUGAUGCAGCGACGCCGCGUGCGGGAUGACGGCCUUCGGGUUGUAAACCGCUUUUGAUCGGGAGCAAGCCUUCGGGUGAGUGUACCUUUCGAAUAAGCACCGGCUAACUACGUGCCAGCAGCCGCGGUAAUACGUAGGGUGCAAGCGUUAUCCGGAAUUAUUGGGCGUAAAGGGCUCGUAGGCGGUUCGUCGCGUCCGGUGUGAAAGUCCAUCGCUUAACGGUGGAUCUGCGCCGGGUACGGGCGGGCUGGAGUGCGGUAGGGGAGACUGGAAUUCCCGGUGUAACGGUG